AGUUGUAUCCUGGCUCAGGAUGAACGCUAGCGGUAUGCCUAACACAUGCAAGUCGUACGAGGGUUUCAUACCCAAGUGGCGGACGGGUGAGUAACACGUGAGAAUUUGCCCUAAGGAGGGGGAUAACAACUGGAAACGGUUGCUAAAACCCCAUAUGCUUCCGAGUGAAAUAGAUUUAUCUGCCUUAGGAGAAGCUCGCGGCUGAUUAGCUAGUUGGUAAGGUAAUGGCUUACCAAGGCGACGAUCAGUAUCUGGUUUGAGAGGACGAUCAGACACACUGGAACUGAGACACGGUCCAGACUCCUACGGGAGGCAGCAGUGGGGAAUUUUCCGCAAUGGGCGAAAGCCUGACGGAGCAAUACCGCGUGAAGGAAGACGGCCUAUGGGUUGUAAACUUCUUUUUUCAGGGAGGAACUCAAUGACGUGUACCUGAAGAAUAAGCAUCGGCUAACUCCGUGCCAGCAGCCGCGGUAAGACGGAGGAUGCAAGUGUUAUCCGGAAUCACUGGGCGUAAAGCGUCUGUAGGUGGUUUAAUAAGUCGACUGUUAAAUCUUGAGGCUUAACCUCAAAAUCGCAUUCGAAACUAUUAGACUUGAGUAUAGUAGAGGUAAAGGGAAUUUCCAGUGGAGCGGUGAAAUGCGUAGAUAUUGGAAAGAACACCGAUG
rnacentral:rRNA from 1 species